rnacentral:lncRNA from 1 species
ACAUUAUAUUUUAACUUUUUAAAUCCAUCUCAUGGAUUAUCCUGACUAAAGUUUUGCUAAAUUGAAAUACACUGAUGCAUAUCUCCUACCAAUUCAGAGGGGUUAAUUCCAUCUUGACUCAUACACCGACUUGAUAAGUACUUGACUGCACCUAGUAUCCUUCCAUCACUAAGUUAGAAACUCAGAUAGUUCGAUACUAAAGUAUAGUGAGUUGCUUUUAAGUUACCGUAGUGGUCUCAGAUCGAAGGGACACUUAUAUCCAUAUCCUUCACAAGCUACUCUUGACAGCAGAGUGCUCAGCACAUGGUCACGUUCGAUGCGAAUGUACUCCUACAUUCCAUCUGCAUGCCAUAAUAAUAUCUCUACACUCUUUGAUUAAGAGGACAACCAACUCAUAUAGCACAUAAUGACCUACACUUGAUAUCACUAUCGUCCUAGUAAUAGCGUAUGAUUUAGUCAUGAAUAAUUUUAAGGACAUAAUGAUAAAUCCUUCUUUAUCGAUUAAUAUAUAUAGUCCUAAAGACUUCAUUACAAUACAGGAGUUCAAAGAUGGUCAAUUUGUAAUGAAAAUACUAAAUAACUUCUAUUAAUAAAAAUUUA